GACUCUCUGCCCUUCAGGUGAGGUCAGAACGUCCACUCGGAAUAUUAUUUUUUUCGGGAUCAGCUUUCAAGAAUCCGGUGUGCCUGCCCACCAUGCAGUGGGACGCCUUAAGGUUUCAUAGAGGAUCCCACCUCAUUGGUACUCGAUGUGAGUCCAAUGACCCACGGUAGUGGUGGAGAGUCG
rnacentral:other from 1 species